GAUAACUGUGGUAAUUCUAGAGCUAAUACAUGCGACAAAGCUCCGACCCUCGAUGGAAAGAGCGCUUUUAUUAGAUCAAGACCAACCGGUAUCGCCUUCGGGUGUGCCGUCGGAUUGAUGACUCUGGAUAACCUUCGCCGAUCGUAUGGCCCCGAGCCGACGACGCAUCUUUCAAAUGUCUGCCCUAUCAACUUUCGUUGGUAGGUGAUUUGCCUACCAAGGUGUUUACGGGUAACGGGGGAUCAGGGUUCGAUCCCGGAGAGGGAGCAUGAGAAACGGCUACCACAUCCAAGGAAGGCAGCAGGCGCGCAAAUUACCCACUCUUAGCACGAGGAGGUAGUGACGAAAAAUAACAAUACGGGACUCUUUCGAGGCCCCGUAAUUGGAAUGAGUACACUCUAAACCCGUUAACGAGGAUCUAUUGGAGGGCAAGUCUGGUGCCAGCAGCCGCGGUAAUUCCAGCUCCAAUAGCGUAUAUUAAAGCUGUUGCAGUUAAAAAGCUCGUAGUCGGAUUUCGGGCGGCGGCCAAUGGUUCGGCUCCGUGCCGAUACUGCUGGUCGCGGCCUCCACGCCGGUCGUCUUUCGGUGCUCUUAACUGAGUGCCUUAAGUAGCCGGAGCGUUUACUUUGAAAAAUUAGAGUGUUCAAGGCAGGCCUCGAGCCUGAAUGAUGGUGCAUGGAAUAAUGGAAUAGGACCUCGGUUCUAUUUUGUUGGUCUUCGGAACUGGAGGUUAUGAUUAAUAGGGACGGACGGGGGCAUUCGUAUUGCGGCGUUAGAGGUGAAAUUCUUGGAUCGUCGCAGAACGACUACUGCGAAAGCAUUGGCCAGAAUGUUUCAUUGAUCAGAGCGAAGUCA
rnacentral:rRNA from 1 species